UGGGGAAUCUUCCGCACUGGACGAAAGUCUGACGGAGCAACGCCGCGUGAGUGAUGACGGCCUUCGGGUUGUAAAGCUCUGUUAAUCGGGACGAAUGGUUCUUGUGCAAAUAGUGCGAGGAUUUGACGGUACCGGAAUAGAAAGCCACGGCUAACUACGUGCCAGCAGCCGCGGUAAUACGUAGGUGGCAAGCGUUGUCCGGAAUUAUUGGGCGUAAAGCGCGCGCAGGCGGAUUGGUCAGUCUGUCUUAAAAGUUCUGGGCUUAACCCCGUGAUGGGAUGGAAAGUGCAAAUCUGAAGUAUCGGAGAGGAAAGUGGAAUUCCUAGUGUAGCGGUGAAAUGCGUAGAUAUUAGGAAGAACACCAGUGGGGAAGGCGACUUGCUGAACGAAAACUGACGCUGAGGCGCGAAAGCCAGGGGAGCGAACGGG
rnacentral:rRNA from 1 species